ensembl:lncRNA
CCCAGCUGCCGGGUGCCUAAGCGCCAAAACAUCCGGAAAGUUCCGGGCACAGGUGUGCUAAGGAAGUAUGAUGGUUCCCAGGGUGAGCGCACGAGCUGUAGAUUUGUGUAUGUGUUUGUUAGCAGCAAACAGGCUCCACUCGGGGACCAUGAAAGGUAGCAUUUAUGGGGAGGUGACUUCCUGUGAUAGAAAUGGCUAGAACUGGGGCCGGCACUGUGGUGCAGCAGGUUGAACGACUGCCUACAGUGGCUGGCAUCCCAUACAGGCGCUGGUUCGAGUCCCAGCUACUCCACUUCUGAUCCAGCUCCCUGCUAAUGUGCCUGGGAGGGCAGAGGAGGAUGGCCCAGGUGCUUGGGCCCCUGUACCCAUGUGGGAGACCCAGAGGAAGCUCCAGGCUCCUGGCUGUGGUCUGGCCCCGCCCUGGCUGUUGGGGCCACUUGAGGAGUGAACCAGCAGAUGGAAGACCUCUCUCUCUCUCUCUCUCUCUCUCUCUCUCUGCAACUCUGCCUUUCAAAUAAAUAAAUCUUCAUAAAAAAUGAAAUUGCUAGGAUUUGCCUCGGCUGUGUCCCCACUCCACCAGCUGGUGACAGGAGACAAGGAUCCUCAGACAUUUUGGGAAGCUGUCCCGUCGGGCACUGUGGGUGUAGUGUCAGGACCGGUAGUAGAAGCAGCAGGAGGAGCCCCUGGACUACAGCCGCUACGGACGGUCAGGGCUGACGUUCUCGGAGCGCCAACACAGGCACACAGGGUCCCGAGUUUCCACGGUGGUCUCCAGGUGAGAACCUUCUAGAACUCCCUCCUGGAAGGGAGUUGGACACAGAUCUUCCUCCUCCCCCUCCCCCACACCCCAUAAGGGGAGAAACAGGGUCUGGUGGGCGGAAGCUGACAUCAGCCUGGCUGUGUCCCAGCCAGGGCACCGGCCCCUUCCAGUCCUGGCACAGCCCGUGGCAGUGUUGAGGAGGGAGGCCCUGGCUUUGCCUCCUGCCCGCUGCCCCCAGCCAGGGCCUGGGGGCCACCACCGUCUGCCUCCUGCUGCCAGCACGCCCUUCCACCCAGGACAGGGUCCACGAGGCAGGCGGGGACCUCUGGGCAGUAAUCCUGUUGCGAGUCUCCCCCAGCCUCGGUCUUCCUUCCUGGAGAGGAGAAGGACCCCUGUGUCUGUGCACGCACCUGCCCGGAGCCCCGCAGAGCUCUGCCCACAGGGAGCCCGACUGAGCAGCAGAGAAGGUGACAAGGACAUCAUCACCCCCGGAGUGGACGCCCUGAGGGCCCCGCGGGGGUGGGGUGGGCCUGAUCCCUGCUCUUGGUCCCUGGCAGGGAGCACCCACCUGUGUUUUGUGAAUGAGGAAAAUGCAAAUCCUUGUCUGACUCCAAUACUAAGCAGUGAGCCCAGCGGGAGGUCCCUGCACACCCUGCCGGCGCUGACAGGGAGGACGCGGUGACAAAUGCCAUCUGGGUGACAGUCACCAGGCAGGGCUGGGAGGCGAGAGCGAGGGCCGGGCUGCACACAGCGCGCCGACCGCCAGGCAGCCUUGCCACUUUCCAGAUGUGGCAAUAGAGACCGCAGAGGUCAACAGGGCUGGCACCCAACUUCCCGGGGGGCGCAAACCCCCAUCCACUUCUGGAAGUGCUUGGGUGGGAAGGGGCUCUGUCCGGGUCAUCCACAGCUCCAUCCGGGGCCCGGCACACAGGCAUGGCAGGCAGGGGCAGAGACGGGCCUGGCACGGGAGACCCAGCACUCGUCUCCUCUUCCUCCCGCACCCUCUCCCAGGCACCAAGUUCCAUGGGUCCACAGUCAGCGGGGACAGAGCCUUGUGCACUCUGAGUUAGCCAUCCACCAACUUAGCAUUCCAAAAGAUUAAACACGUGCAAGGCCCACAUGGGACGUCCGUGAGGUGAGCCCGGCUUGUCUGCAAG